rnacentral:snoRNA from 1 species
CCCCAAUGUCUCUUGUCAGGACUCCUCUCUCAUCUCACGGGGGCUGUCUGUUACAGUGUUGGGAAAUUGAAUACACCACGCAACUGUCGUUGAAGGUCUUCUUCGCGACUGAUGGGUGCCGUUUUGGUUACUAUCGAGCUGGUUCGUGCGUCUGAAGAGUUGAAAUUUUCACGGGUCCUUUGCGGCCACUUACAUACUGGAAAUCUCUUAGUGAAGACGCACACAAUU